UAGCAAUACCGAAGGAAGUCUAGCGGCGAACGGGUGCUUAACACGUGGGCAACCUGCCAAGAAGUGGGGGAUAGCUCGCCGAAAGGCGAAUUAAUACCGCAUGUGAUUAGAGAGGACAUCCUUUCGAAAUUAAAGUCGGGGCAACCUGACGCUUUUUGUGGGGCCCGCGGCCUAUCAGCUAGUUGGUGAGGUAACGGCCCACCAAGGCUUUGACGGGUAGCUGGUCUGAGAGGACGACCAGCCACACUGGGACUGAGACACGGCCCAGACACCUACGGGUGGCAGCAGUCGAGAAUUUUUGACAAUGGGGGAAACCCUGAUCGAGCGACGCCGCGUGGAGGAUGAAGGUCUUCGGAUUGUAAACUCCUGUCAUUGGGGAACAAGUCGCUUACGUUAACUGCGUGAGCGUUGAUAGUACCCGAAGAGGAAGAGACGGCUAACUCUGUGCCAGCAGCCGCGGUAAUACAGAGGUCUCAAGCGUUGUUCGGACUCAUUGGGCGUAAAGGGUGCGUAGGCGGCGCGGUAAGUCGGGUGUGAAAUCUUGGAGCUUAACUCCGAAACUGCAUUCGAUACUGCCGUGCUUGAGGACUGGAGAGGGGACUGGAAUUCACGGUGUAGCA
rnacentral:rRNA from 1 species